rnacentral:rRNA from 1 species
UAAACGGCCGCGUUAGCGUGAGCGUGCUAAGGUAGCGUAAUAAAUAGCCUCUUAAUUGGAGGCCAGUGAAUGGCAAGACUAGGGAAAUCUGUACCCUGUAUAGAAAAAAAAUUUUUCAUCUGGGUGAAAAGACCCUAAUAAUAAAGGAAGACGAAAAGACCCCGCGGAACUUUACCUUUUCUUAGUCUCCACAUGCUCAAAACACAAGAACAAAAGGUUUGAUUGGGGCAAUCUCGGAACCACCUAAACUUCCGAUUUAUAACAUAAGAACAUACAAAACUUAAUAAGGACCAAAAAGAAGUUACCCCGGGGAUAACAGCGUAAUCCAACUUGAGAGUACACAUCGAAAGUUGGGUUUGCGACCUCGAUGUUGGCUUAAGGAUAUCCACAUAAGUGCAAAA